GAUGAAUGCUGGCGGCGUGCCUAACACAUGCAAGUCGAGCGGCAGCGCGGUCUUCGGACUGGCGGCGAGCGGCGGACGGCUGAGUAGCGCGUGGGAACAUACCCCAAAGUGAGGGAUAACCGCCCGAAAGGGUGGCUAAUACCGCAUAUGGUCUUCGGAUUAAAGGAUUUAUCCGCUUUGGGAAUGGCCUGCGUAUGAUUAGAUAGUUGGUGAGGUAAUGGCUCACCAAGUCGACGAUCAUUAACUGGUCUGAGAGGAUGAUCAGUCAGACUGGAACUGAGACACGGUCCAGACUCCUACGGGAGGCAGCAGUGAGGAAUCUUCCACAAUGGGCGAAAGCCUGAUGGAGCAACGCCGCGUGCAGGAUGAAGGCCUUCGGGUCGUAAACUGCUUUUAUAAGUGAAGAAUAUGACGGUAACUUAUGAAUAAGCACCGGCUAACUACGUGCCAGCAGCCGCAGUAA
rnacentral:rRNA from 1 species